UACGUAGGUGGCAAGCGUUAAUCGGAAUUACUGGGCGUAAAGCGGGCGCAGGCGGUUUUGUAAGUCUGACGUGAAAUCCCCGGGCUCAACCUGGGAAUUGCGAUGGAGACUGCAAGGCUUGAAUCUGGCAGAGGGGGGUAGAAUUCCACGUGUAGCAGUGAAAUGCGUAGAGAUGUGGAGGAACACCGAUGGCGAAGGCAGCCCCCUGGGUCAAGAUUGACGCUCAUGCACGAAAGCGUGGGGAGCAAACAGG
rnacentral:rRNA from 1 species